rnacentral:rRNA from 1 species
AGUGAACGCUGGCGGCGCGCUUAACACAUGCAAGUCGAACGAGAACGGGUUAUAGCUUGCUAUAAUUGUCAGCUAAGUGGCGCACGGGUGAGUAAUGUAUAGGUAAUAUGCCUCUUACUAAGGGAUAACAAAUGGAAACGUUUGCUAAUACCUUAUACUCCUUAUUAACAGAAGUUAAUAAGGGAAAGAUUUAUUGGUAAGAGAUUAGCCUGUAUUGUAUCAGUUAGUUGGUGGGGUAAUGGCUUACCAAGACUAUGACACAUAACUGGUUUGAGAGGAUGAUCAGUCACACUGGAACUGAGACACGGUCCAGACUCCUACGGGAGGCAGCAAUGGGGAAUAUUGCACAAUGGACGAAAGUCUGAUGCAGCAACGCCGCGUGGAGGAUGACACAUUUCGGUGCGUAAACUCCUUUUAUAUGAGAAGAUAAUGACGGUAUUAUAUGAAUAAGCACCGGCUAACUCCGUGCCAGCCGCCGCGGUAA